CGCCUUUAGGUCCGGGAAGACAACUAUUGUAGGACGCCUAAAUGUCUGUGUUCCAGGACCUGUCACAGUGUGA
rnacentral:precursor_RNA from 1 species